rnacentral:rRNA from 1 species
CACGGGUGAGUAACACGUAUCCAACCUGCCGUCUACUCUUGGACAGCCUUCUGAAAGGAAAGAUUAAUACAAGAUGGCAUCAUGAGUCCGCAUGUUCACAUGAUUAAAGGUAUUCCGGUAGACGAUGGGGAUGCGUUCCAUUAGAUAGUAGGCGGGGUAACGGCCCACCUAGUCUUCGAUGGAUAGGGGUUCUGAGAGGAAGGUCCCCCACAUUGGAACUGAGACACGGUCCAA